UAAUUGAAGAGUUUGAUCAUGGCUCAGAUUGAACGCUGGCGGCAGGCCUAACACAUGCAAGUCGAGCGGCAGCGACAACAUUGACCCUUCGGGCGAUUUGUUGGGCGGCGAGCGGCGGACGGGUGAGUAAUGCCUGGGAACAUGCCUUAGUGUGGGGGAUAACCAUUGGAAACGAUGGCUAAUACCGCAUAAUGUCUUCGGACCAAAGCGGGGGACCUUCGGGCCUCGCGCGCUAAGAUUGGCCCAGGUGGGAUUAGCUAGUAGGUGGGGUAACGGCUCACCUAGGCGACGAUCCCUAGCUGGUCUGAGAGGAUGAUCAGCCACAC
rnacentral:rRNA from 1 species